rnacentral:lncRNA from 1 species
AAAGAGAUUGAAAAAGCUCGCUAAGUCAAACACCACAAAAUGACUUAGGCAAAAGUCAGGGCAUCCCGAUGGACCGAAAGCUUCAAAGAAGCGGUCCAGGCAAAAUCAGGGAUAAAGAAAAUCAAUUAAAAGAGGUCACUAAAUCCUCAACAAAAACAAAAUAAGGUGACUGCCAUUCAAGGAAAUCUAUCUUGAACCCUCAUCUUUACCAUCACACCUUCGAACCCUCUUAGAAGUCGAAUGCGUGUGUCGAAUUAACUGAACAUAGG